rnacentral:snRNA from 1 species
GCGCUCCCUUCAGCAGCACAUAAACUAAAAUUGGAAUGAUACAGAGAAGAUUAGCAUGGCUCCUGCACAAGGAUGACACGCAAAUUCGUGGAGUGUUCCAUAGUUUU